rnacentral:rRNA from 1 species
GGCUCAGAACGAACGCUGGCGGCGUGGAUCAGACAUGCAAGUCGAACGGAAUAUUAUUUGUAGCAAUACAGAUGAUGUUCAGUGGCGUAAGGGUGCGUAACACGUGGGCAAUCUGCCGAGAAGUGGGGGAUAGCUCGUCGAAAGGCGAAUUAAUACCGCAUGUGGUUAGCGAAGACAUCUUCGCGAUACCAAAGCCGGGGCAACCUGGCGCUUCUCGAUGAGCCCGCGGCCUAUCAGCUAGUUGGUGAGGUAACGGCUCACCAAGGCUAUGACGGGUAGCUGGUCUGAGAGGACGACCAGCCACACUGGAACUGAGACACGGUCCAGACACCUACGGGUGGCAGCAGUCGAGAAUUUUUCUCAAUGGGGGAAACCCUGAAGGAGCGACGCCGCGUGGAGGAUGAAGGUCUUCGGAUUGUAAACUCCUGUCAUUUGGGAACAAUUGCAGGCGAUUAACUGUCGUCUGUUUGAUAGUACCAGAAGAGGAAGAGACGGCUAACUCUGUGCCAGCAGCCGCGGUAAUACAGAGGUCUCAAGCGUUGUUCGGAUUCAUUGGGCGUAAAGGGUGCGUAGGUGGCACCAUAAGUCAGGUGUGAAAUCUCGGGGCUCAACCCCGAAACUGCACUUGAUACUGUGGUGCUAGAGUACUGGAGAGGAGAUUGGAAUUUACGGUGUAGCAGUGAAAUGCGUAGAUAUCGUAAGGAAGACCAGUGGCGAAGGCGAAUCUCUGGACAGUUACUGACACUGAGGCACGAAGGCCAGGGGAGCAAACGGGAUUAGAUACCCCGGUAGUCCUGGCAGUAAACGGUGCGCGUUUGGUGUGGGAGGAUUCGACCCCUUCUGUGCCGGAGCUAACGCGUUAAACGCGCCGCCUGGGGAGUACGGUCGCAAGAAUAAAACUCAAAG